rnacentral:rRNA from 1 species
GAUCCUGGCUCAGGACGAACGCUGGCGGCGUGCCUAAUACAUGCAAGUCGAGCGGACAGAUGGGAGCUUGCUCCCUGAUGUUAGCGGCGGACGGGUGAGUAACACGUGGGUAACCUGCCUGUAAGACUGGGAUAACUCCGGGAAACCGGGGCUAAUACCGGGAUGCUUGUUUUGAACCGGCAUGGUUCAGAACAUAAAAAGGUGGCUUCGGCUACCACUUAACAGAAUGGACCCCGCGGCGCAUUAGCUAGUUGGUGAGGUAACGGCUCACCAAGGCAACGAUGCGUAGCCGACCUGAGAGGGUGAUCGGCCACCACUGGGACUGAGACACGGCCCAGACUCCUACGGGAGGCAGCAGUAGGGAAUCUUCCGCAAUGGACGAAAGUCUGACGGAGCAACGCCGCGUGAGUGAUGAAGGUUUUCGGAUCGUAAAGCUCUGUUGUUAGGGAAGAACAAGUGCCGUUCAAAUAGGGCGGCACCUUGACGGUACCUAACCAGAAAGCCACGGCUAACUACGUGCCAGCAGCCGCGGUAAUACGUAGGUGGCAAGCGUUGUCCGGAAUUAUUGGGCGUAAAGGGCUCGCAGGCGGUUUCUUAAGUCUGAUGUGAAAGCCCCCGGCUCAACCGGGGAGGGUCAUUGGAAACUGGGGAACUUGAGUGCAGAAGAGGAGAGUGGAAUUCCACGUGUAGCGGUGAAAUGCGUAGAGAUGUGGAGGAACACCAGUGGCGAAGGCGACUCUCUGGUCUGUAACUGACGCUGAGGAGCGAAAGCGUGGGGAGCGAACAGGAUUAGAUACCCUGGUAGUCCACGCCGUAAAC